rnacentral:misc_RNA from 1 species
AACGCACAUUGCGCCCUGUGGUAUUCCGCAGGGCAUGCCUGUUCGAGCGUCAGUACAACACUCAAGCCUAGCUUGGUAUUGAACCAUAUCCGCAAGGAUCGGUUUUAAAAUCAGUGGCGGCGCCAUCUGGCUCUAAGCGUAGUAAUUCUUCUCGCUUCUGGGUCCUGGUGGAUGCUGGCCAGCAACCCCCAACUUUCUAAGUUUGACCUCGGAUCAGGUAGGGAUACCCGCUGAACUUAA